AAAUGAAUAGACGGGGGCCCGCACAAGCGGUGGAGCAUGUGGUUUAAUUCGAAGCAACGCGAAGAACCUUACCAGGUCUUGACAUCCCUGGACAGCUGUGGAAACACAGUUUCCCUUCGGGGCCAGGAGACAGGUGGUGCAUGGUUGUCGUCAGCUCGUGUCGUGAGAUGUUGGGUUAAGUCCCGCAACGAGCGCAACCCUUGCCUUUAGUUGCCAUCAUUAAGUUGGGGACUCUAAAGGGACUGCCGGUGACAAAUCGGAGGAAGGUGGGGAUGACGUCAAAUCAUCAUGCCCCUUAUGAUCUGGGCUACACACGUGCUACAAUGGGUGGUACAGAGGGAAGCGAAGCCGUGAGGCGGAGCGAAUCCCAGAAAGCCACUCUCAGUUCGGAUUGCAGGCUGCAACUCGCCUGCAUGAAGUCGGAAUCGCUAGUAAUCGCAGGUCAGCAUACUGCGGUGAAUACGUUCCCGGGCCUUGUACACACCGCCCGU
rnacentral:rRNA from 1 species